AACAAAUCCCAGACCGGCAGGGACCGGCAGGGACCGGAGGAAUUCAUACCUGGAGCAGGGAAUUAUGACGGGUUAGUAGGACCGAGGUAGCAUCAGGUAGACUCACUGGACUGAAGCCUCCAUCAGCUGGAGCCACCUGAUGAAGUGUAAUUCUGCGUAGAAGUAAUAUCUAGUUGUAGCUUUAACUCCACAGUAAGUUGUGAAAAGAUACGAGAGUUUCUUACGUGAGUUCAGAGGAAGAUAAAACUUGAAAUCUUCCUACGUGGCUGUCGGAGUGGACAGGAGCUCAGUGCUGCCACCGCAGAGGGCAAAAGCUGAAGAUCUUCAUCAUGAAGAGUUCAGAUGCUUUAAGACCCUGUUCUGUUGUCAGAGGCUGAGCAUUUGAAACAUGAAAACUUCUCCCCAUAAUGAAGAGAGAGUGAAAGGUGGAGCAUGGAAAGUAGAAGGUUUUUGGUAUGGGUAUAAUAUGUC